CGCGUAGGCGGUUAUGCGAGUGUGAUGUGAAAGCCCUGGGCUCAACCUAGGAAGUGCAUCGCAAACGGCAUGACUGGAGUAUUGGAGAGGGUAGCGGAAUUUCCGGUGUAGCGGUGAAAUGCGUAGAGAUCGGAAGGAACGUCAAUGGCGAAGGCAGCUACCUGGCCAAAUACUGACGCUGAGGCGCGAAAGCGUGGGAGCAAACA
rnacentral:rRNA from 1 species